rnacentral:rRNA from 1 species
UACAGAGGUCCCAAGCGUUGUUCGGAUUCACUGGGCGUAAAGGGUGCGUAGGUGGUGAGGUAAGUCGGAUGUGAAAUCUCCGAGCUCAACUCGGAAAUGGCAUUGGAAACUACCUUGCUCGAGGGUUGGAGGGGGGACUGGAAUGCUUGGUGUAGCAGUGAAAUGCGUAGAUAUCAAGCGGAACACCAGUGGCGAAGGCGAGUCUCUGGACAUUUCCUGACGCUGAGGCACGAAAGCCAGGGGAGCAAACGGG